rnacentral:misc_RNA from 1 species
GAUGAAGAACGUAGUGAAAUGCGAUAAGUAAUGUGAAUUGCAGAAUUCAGUGAAUCAUCGAAUCUUUGAACGCACAUUGCGCCCGCCAGUAUUCUGGCGGGCAUGCCUGUUCGAGCGUCAUUUCAACCCUCAGGCCCCCAGUGCCUGGUGUUGGGGAUCGGCCCAGCCUUCCUGUAAGGCCGCCGGCCCCGAAAUCUAGUGGCGGUCUCGCUGUAGUCCUCCUCUGCGUAGUAGCACACCCUCGCAGUUGGAACGCGGCGGUGGCCAUGCCGUUAAACACCCCACUUCUGAAAGUUGACCUCGGAUCAGGUAGGAAUACCCGCUGAACUUAAGCAUAUCAAUAAGCGGAGGA